GACGAACGCUGGCGGCGUGCUUAACACAUGCAAGUCGAACGGAAAGGCCCUGCUCUUGUGGGGUUCUCGAUUGGCGAACGGGUGAGUAACACGUGAGUAACCUGCCCCUGACUUUGUGAUAACUUCAGGAAACUGGGGCUAAUACCGGAUAGGAGCUCUUGCUGCAUGGUGUGGGUUGGAAAGUUUCGGCGUUUGGGGAUGGACUCGCUGGUUAUCAGCUUCUUGGUGUGGUAGUGGCUUACCAAGGCUUUGACGGGUAGCCUGCCUGGGAGGGUUAACGGCGACAUGGGGACUGCGAGAGGCAGCAGAAGCCAACGGGAGGCAGCAGUCGGGAAUAUUGCGCAAUGGGCGGAAGCCUGAUGCAGCAACGCCGCGUGCGGAAUGACGGCCUUCGGGUUGUAAACAGCUUUCGACGGUGACGAAGCGUGAGUGACGGUAAUGGAUAAGGAAGCACCGGCUAACUACGUG
rnacentral:rRNA from 1 species